AGGUCUGAAGGAUACUUAUAUCCAUAUAUUUUGUGAGUAGCUUUUGACAGCAGAACGCUCAGCAGGUGAGUCACUUGUUCAGUGAUGAUGUACUCCUACAUCUUACCUAUAUGCCAUAUCAGUAUCACCACACUCCUUGGUUAAGAGGACAAUCAAUCCAUAUGGCAUACAAUGAUCUUCACUUGAUAAACAUCAUCAUCC
rnacentral:lncRNA from 1 species